rfam:Cephalotus follicularis DNA, scaffold: scaffold1956, isolate: St1.
GGUGGAAAGUUCCAAAGGGAUCGCAUUGAUCUGAUGUUCAUCGAUGCCUGAAUGACUUCAUGGUCCGUUUUAUAAAUUAAUUCAGCUUGUUCAUUAGAUCAUGCGAUCCCUUAGGAUGUUUCCAU